UACAGAGGUCCCAAGCGUUGUUCGGAUUCAUUGGGCGUAAAGGGUGCGUAGGUGGCGUCGUAAGUCGGGUGUGAAAUCUCGGGGCUUAACUCCGAAACUGCAUUCGAUACUGCGUGCUUGAGGACUGGAGAGGAGACUGGAAUUUACGGUGUAGCAGGUGAAAAUGCGUAGAGAUCGUAAGGAAGACCAGUGGCGAAGGCGGGUCUCUGGACAGUUCCUGACUGAGGCACGAAGGCCAGGGGAGCAAAACGGGGAUUAGAACGACCUUGUC
rnacentral:rRNA from 1 species